AGAGUUUGAUCCUGGCUCAGGACGAACGCUGGCGGCGCGCCUAACACAUGCAAGUCGAACGAGCGAGAGAGAGCUUGCUUUCUUGAGCGAGUGGCGAACGGGUGAGUAACGCGUAAGGAACCUGCCUCAAAGAGGGGGACAACAGUUGGAAACGACUGCUAAUACCGCAUAAGCCCACGGCUCGGCAUCGAGCAGAGGGAAAAGGAGCAAUCCGCUUUGAGAUUCCUCGCGUCCGAUUAGCUAGUUGGUGAGGUAACGGCCCACCAAGGCGACGAUCGGUAGCCGGACUGAGAGGUUGAACGGCCACAUUGGGACUGAGACACGGCCCAGACUCCUACGGGAGGCAGCAGUGGGGAAUAUUGCACAAUGGGGGAAACCCUGAUGCAGCGACGCCGCGUGGAGGAAGAAGGUCUUCGGAUUGUAAACUCCUGUUGUUGAGGAAGAUAAUGACGGUACUCAACAAGGAAGUGACGGCUAACUACGUGCCAGCAGCCGCGGUAAAACGUAGGUCACAAGCGUUGUCCGGAAAUACUGGGUGUAAAGGGAGCGCAGGCGGGAAGACAAGUUGGAAGUGAAAUCCAUGGGCUCAACCCAUGAACUGCUUUCAAAACUGUUUUUCUUGAGUAGUGCAGAGGUAGGCGGAAUUCCCGGUGUAGCGGUGGAAUGCGUAGAUAUCGGGAGGAACACCAGUGGCGAAGGCGGCCUACUGGGCACCAACUGACGCUGAGGCUCGAAAGUGUGGGUAGCAAACAGGAUUAGAUACCCUGGUAGUCCACACUGUAAACGAUGAUUACUAGGUGUUGGAGGAUUGACCCCUUCAGUGCCGCAGUUAACACAAUAAGUAAUCCACCUGGGGAGUACGACCGCAAGGUUGAAACUCAAAGGAAUUGACGGGGGCCCGCACAAGCAGUGGAGUAUGUGGUUUAAUUCGACGCAACGCGAAGAACCUUACCAAGUCUUGACAUCCUGCGACGCACAUAGAAAUAUGUGUUUCCUUCGGGACGCAGAGACAGGUGGUGCAUGGUUGUCGUCAGCUCGUGUCGUGAGAUGUUGGGUUAAGUCCCGCAACGAGCGCAACCCUUAUGGUCAGUUACUACGCAAGAGGACUCUGGCCAGACUGCCGUUGACGAAACGGAGGAAGGUGGGGAUGACGUCAAAUCAUCAUGCCCUUUAUGACUUGGGCUACACACGUACUACAAUGGCGUUAAACAAAGAGAAGCAAGACCGCGAGGUGGAGCAAAACUCAGAAACAACGUCCCAGUUCGGACUGCAGGCUGCAACUCGCCUGCAC
rnacentral:rRNA from 1 species